GAUCAUGGCUCAGGACGAACGCUGGCGGCGUGCCUAACACAUGCAAGUCGAGCGGAGACAGUGAGUAGCUUGCUAUGAGCUGUUUUAGCGGCGGACGGGUGAGUAGCGCGUGAGCAACCUUUCCCAGACAGGGGAAUAACACACCGAAAGGUGUACUAAUACCGCAUAAGACCACGGGAUCACAUGGUUCUGGGGUAAAAGAUUUAUCGGUUUGGUGGGUGCNCGCGACUAGUAGUGUGG
rnacentral:rRNA from 1 species